GUAGUCCGCACCGUAAACGAUGAAUGCUCGUUAUGGGCGAUACACAGUCCGUGACCAAGCGAAAGCAUUAAGCAUUCCACCUGGGGAGUACGCCGGCAACGGUGAAACUCAAAGGAAUUGACGGGGGCCCGCACAAGCGGAGGAACAUGUGGUUUAAUUCGAUGAUACGCGAGGAACCUUACCCGGGCUUGAACUGAGCAGGAAGAGAGGCAGAGACGCCUCUCGUCUUCGGACCUGCUUGGAGGUGCUGCAUGGUUGUCGUCAGCUCGUGCCGUGAGGUGUCGGCUUAAGUGCCAUAACGAGCGCAACCCUCGCCGCCAGUUGCCAUCAGGUAGAGCUGGGCACUCUGGCGGGACUGCCAUCGCAAGAUGUGAGGAAGGUGGGGAUGACGUCAAAUCAGCACGGCCCUUACGUCCGGGGCUACACACGUGUUACAAUGGGGGGCACAGAGAGUUGCUGGCAGGUGACUGUUGGCGGAUCUAUAAAUCCCCUCUCAGUUCGGACUGGAGUCUGCAACCCGACUCCACGAAGCUGGAUUCGCUAGUAAUCGCGCAUCAGCCAUGGCGCGGUGAAUACGUUCCCGGGCCUUGUACACACCGCCCGUCAAGCCAUGAAAGCCGGGGGUGCCUGAAGACUGGGAUGACCGGUCUAGGGUAAAACUGGUGAUUGGGGCUA
rnacentral:rRNA from 1 species